rnacentral:lncRNA from 1 species
AAAAGCAAUCCUAAAAAUCGUAAACAAAAUGACACAGAGGAACCUUAUUGCUCAUCGAGCCAUGCAAGAAAGGAACCGUUUAUUUCCAGCAAGUUUAAAACAUCGAUUUGACCUCCAGCCAUGGUCGAUGAGAUGUUAGAAAACCAACUCUCUUGCUGACAACAACGAGAAAAUCUUGAUACCAUUUAGCAAAAAGAAGUCUGUGGGGGAGGCGUUGGAGAGUGACGGAACUGCCACGGCCUGAGGCACCCGGCUUCCGGAGCCUCUGGCAGCCCAGAGAAGUCUCUGUCUUGUCGCCCAGGCUGGGGUACAGUGGUGCCAUCUCAGCUGACUGCAACCUCCGCCUCCGGGUUCAAGUGAUUGUCCUGCCUCAGCCUCCUGAGUAGCUGGGAUUACAGGCGCCCACCACCAUGCCUGGACGUCCCAGUGAUCGGGAGGAGCGGGAAGAGCUUCAGCUACAACCAGGACGUGGUGCUGCUGCUUCUGACAGACGGAGUCCUGUUCCACCUUCAGAGCGUCACGGCGUACGCCCUCAUGGGGAAAAUCUCCCCGGUGACUUUCAGGUCCCGCAGGCCCUGCACCGAGUCGCCUUGUCCAUGGCGCUGCCCUGCCCCAUGCUUCCUGCGUCCUGAGUAGGAGGUAUCUCCGAGACAGGAAAAGUGGCCGCUCUCUCUCACUUUUUCUGGAACUCAUGGUGGUCUCCUGGGCUUGGUCACUGUCUCUCACCAGCAUGUUUCUUUGUGCGGUCAGGAAUUAUUUCCAAAUGCUCCUGAAGCCUAGUGUUUUAGUGAACAUUAGUGAUUGUUAGCAGUGGUUCAAAAAAAAAAAACUUUUUUUUUUUUUUUGAGACAGAGUCUUGCUCUGUGACCCAGGCUGGAGUGUGGUGGUGCCAUCUCAGCUCACUGCAACCUCCGCCUCCCUGCUCAAGUGAUCCUCUCGCCUCAGCCUCCUGAGUAGCUGGGACUACAGGUGUCCACCACCACGCUGGGCUAAUUUUUGUUUUUUGUUAUUUUAUUUUAUUUUACUUUUUUUGAGAGAUGGGAUUUUGCUGUGUUGUCCAGGCUGAUCUUGAACUCCUGGCCUCAAGUGAUCCACCCACCUUGGCCUCCCAAAGCGCUAGGACUGCAAUUAUGAGCCACCACACUCAGCCCAAUUAUUUUUCCUUUUUUUUUUUUUUUUUUUGGAGCCAGAGUCUCACGCUGUUGCCCAGGCUGGAGUGCAGUGGCGCGAUCUCGGCUCACUGCAACCCCACCUCCCAG